rnacentral:rRNA from 1 species
GUGGGGAAUUUUGGACAAUGGGCGCAAGCCUGAUCCAGCAAUGCCGCGUGCAGGAAGAAGGCCUUCGGGUUGUAAACUGCUUUUGUACGGAACGAAACGGUCCGGGUUAAUACCCUGGGCUAAUGACGGUACCGUAAGAAUAAGCACCGGCUAACUACGUGCCAGCAGCCGCGGUAAUACGUAGGGUGCAAGCGUUAAUCGGAAUUACUGGGCGUAAAGCGUGCGCAGGCGGUUUUGUAAGACAGGCGUGAAAUCCCCGGGCGCAACCUGGGAAUUGCGCUUGUGACUGCAAGGGUGGAGUGCGGGAUAGAGGGAUGGAAUUCCGCGUGUAGCAGUGAAAUGCGUAGAUAUGCGGAGGAACACCGAUGGCGAAGGCAAUCCCCUGGGCCUGCACUGACGCUCAUGCACGAAAGCGUGGGGAGCAAACAGGAUUAGAUACCCGUGUAGUCC